AACCAACCGAGUUGGGUUUGGGUGAAAUGCAGCUUUUAGUUGUAUUAAACCCAGAUUCGGUGAGGUGGGUUAAGUCGUCACAAGGUAUCCGUAGGGGAACCUACGGAUGGAUCACCUCCUUU
rnacentral:rRNA from 1 species